AUUGAAUAUUAUAAAUAAACAAUGGAUAUCGAUUUAAAGUUAAAUAUCGAUAAACAAUCAUUUUUCCUUAAGUGUUUGUUUUUGAGGUCUGAACUCUGAAUUGACAUGGAUAUCCAAAUACUGGAAUCAAAUUUUACCCAGGAUUUAGGCGAGAUAGAGAAAAGGGUGGAUAAACUAAACAAAGAUGCAAAAGAAAUCCAGAAGUUGAAGAAAAUUGGAACUACCAUGGCCAGCCUGAAGCUUAACAGGCGGCCAAAGAACCUGUCAAUGUGUGUAAAAAAACUGAAGAAGACUACGCUAGAGGGCAAUCAGGCUGAGAGAGUAUUGGGUCAAGUUCCAGUUCCUGGUUCCAGCGUUGAAGUUAAUCGUCCAUCUUACCCAUUCUCGAAUGUGAAUACUGUUGCAAGACCUUCAUGUCAGCCUCUAGCUUGAGUAGACGUAAGCCAUUAUAGGAGGCCGAAAGGUCAUGGUCAUUCUAAAAAAAAGAAUAUAUGUUAUUGCCAGCCACCUUCCACUCAUUUAGCUACAUGCAAGAAUGGAAGAAAGUAAGCUGUUUCCUCCGGCUCCAUCUUUCCUAUGUCACGUGUACUGUAGUCAUGUCGUUGUCAGUCAUUGUCAUUUCUAUGUCACGUGUACUGUUAUCUUUCCUGUGUCAAGAGUAGUACAUCAGCCAAUAUUUGCCGACUUAGAGUUCAUAGCAGUGCCCCAUCUUGUCAGCCUCAGUCAGUCGACACUCGUCAGCCGCUAGCUACAUUGCCUUCUCCGGCCACUUAAGCAGUCAAGAACUACCGCAAGCUGAUAUCUUCCCGGCACCGGUGCCCUUCGAGAUCUUGUCUUUGCUAUGGAGCCCAGCCCGAAGAGAACGAAGACAGGCAUGAGGACCUUGUCCAACGAAGACCUGGACUCAAUCCGGAAGAUGACGUUGGCGUUCGAGAAGACCCUUCGCCUGAAAAACCAACAGAAUAUGGAGAUUGAAGAGGAAUUGAAGGCUGUUAAAAGCAGUUGUGAAGCGAGAUCCUUCAUACCGAAUCUUUGUUAAGCGGAUUGCCAUGAAUGUACCGUUGGAGUUGAUUAAGAAGUUUUCUGUCUUCGGAAGGAUUAUGGAUUAUUAUUAUCGACAGGCACUUCGCUUCCGAAUAUCGUGCUAGUAAAACACUGCAUGUUUGAGUUCAUUAAACCUGAUCUCUUGGUCCAUCUAAAAAUAACUUAGCCAAACCCAUUAAAGAACAGUGGCACGCUACCAACUCGAAAGUCAUAACAUCUAAUAAGCGCGAAGGUAAAUUUCUUUUUAUCCUUAAAUUUGCAAUCUAAAGAUUGUUUUAAUUAGUUUUGGACAUAGAGGAGAACCCAAGAGCCGGAAUUAAUAGAUCCGUGUUCAUAACAUUCUUUGACCGUGAAGCAGUUCAAAUGGCGUUAACUGUAAGUUUCUAUUUAUUUUUUAUUUUUUAUCUAUUUAUUUAUUUUUAAGAGGAAAUGAAGGAGUACCGAAAAGCACAGCAAAAAAUGUAAAGGAUCCGAUAUCCUUUAUCACCAUUCCAAUACAUAAUUUUAUUUUA
rnacentral:misc_RNA from 1 species